GAUGAACGCUGGCGGCGUGCCUAAUACAUGCAAGUCGAGCGAACAGACGAGGAGCUUGCUCCUCUGACGUUAGCGGCGGAAGGGUGAGUAACACGUGGAUAACCUACCUAUAAGACUGGGAUAACUUCGGGAAACCGGAGCUAAUACCGGAUAAUAUAUUGAACCGCAUGGUUCAAUAGUGAAAGACGGUUUUGCGGUCACUUAUAGAUGGAUCCGCGCCGCAUUAGCUAGUUGGUAAGGUAACGGCUUACCAAGGCAACGAUGCGUAGCCGACCUGAGAGGGUGAUCGGCCACACUGGAACUGAGACACGGUCCAGACUCCUACGGGAGGCAGCAGUAGGGAAUCUUCCGCAAUGGGCGAAAGCCUGACGGAGCAACGCCGCGUGAGUGAUGAAGGUCUUCGGAUCGUAAAACUCUGUUAUUAGGGAAGAACAAAUGUGUAAGUAACUAUGCACGUCUUGACGGUACCUAAUCAGAAAGCCACGGCUAACUACGUG
rnacentral:rRNA from 1 species